AUACUGCUGAAGAGUCCCAAACUAGGACGAAACAGCCGUCCAGCAC
rnacentral:hammerhead_ribozyme from 1 species